AGGACGAACGCUGGCGGCGUGCUUAACACAUGCAAGUCGAGCGGUAAGGCUCCUUCGGGAGUACACGAGCGGCGAACGGGUGAGUAACACGUGAGCAAUCUGCCCUUCUCUUCGGAAUAAGCGUUGGAAACGACGUCUAAUGCCGAAUACGGCCUCCUUUCGCAUGAUCGGAGGUGGAAAGCUCCGGCGGAGAAGGAUGAGCUCGCGGCCUAUCAGCUAGUUGGUGUGGGUAAUGGCCCACCAAGGCGACGACGGGUAGCCGGCCUGAGAGGGUGACCGGCCACACUGGGACUGAGACACGGCCCAGACUCCUACGGGAGGCAGCAGUGGGGAAUAUUGGACAAUGGGCGAAAGCCUGAUCCAGCAACGCCGCGUGAGGGAUGACGGCCUUCGGGUUGUAAACCUCUUUCAGCAGGGACGAAGCGAAAGUGACGGUACCUGCAGAAGAAGGACCGGCCAACUACGUGCCAGCAGCCGC
rnacentral:rRNA from 1 species